GUGUGACUGGAGUCAACCUCUCUUCUACGGUGACUGGAUCCUUCCUUCUCUGGCGACAACACCUCAGGUGCACUACGGAUUCUCCAGCUAAUUAUGAAGUUCUUUCUUUUGAUAGCUUCUUUGAAGUGUUCCACAUUUUUACCAUCAUGGUUAGUAGAUGGUAACAUAAUCUCUACAAAGAUCAAGAGUGCAUCUAGCAACCAUGAUCUUGAAAGAAUUAAUUGGAAAAGCAACCCAGCUAGAGCCUGUCCUAAUUUUGAAUUUGUGAUUGACAACAAUGAAAGCUUUACACAAAGAAAAUGUUUCAGUUGCUACAGUCUGCUUAUUCUACAAUAAGGAUCCAAGACACUGCUCUUUUUCUAGGAAUGAACGAGGAUAAUUCCACAAAUUCAAGCUAAGUGGGGCACAACAGAGCAGAUAGAUCGAUCUAUACUCUAGAAGGUGGCCAGAAAAGAUUCUUCUGGAAACUAUGUCACCGAGUGUAACAAGGUCAUGGGAGAGGCCAUCGAAGAAAUGCUUGAGCAAAGAAAAGAAGGCAAACUGAUUGAGAUCGGAACAAAUGACAUCCUAACACAAGUGUUAGGUACUGCUGAGCACCUCGGUCGAGUUCGAGGCCAGAGUUAAGGUGUCACACAAAGAGACUACUUUCAUAAGCCUAUUGGGGGGGGGGGGGGGUCUAAGAGGGUUGCUAGAGUUACCUUUUGAAAUCAUAGCUAGAGUUUCUUGAGCGGAUGAGUCAUAGCUAGAGUAACUUUUGAAAUCAGAAUUAAAAAAAUAUACUAAUUGUAGUUUUUAGUUAGCACUUACAUAGUUAUUCCAAGUGAGUUCUAUAUUCCAUGUGAGUUAGCACUUACAUAUUUUGAUCUUGUAAUUUUUAGAGUUGGAACAUACUGAGUUCUAUUGAUUUUGUUUGCCUGUUCAUUCUGUCUGAACUAUGUUGUAAUUACACAGGAAAUUAUGAAUGAAUAUAGUGGUUGAAAAUAGAUAAAUGAAAAAAAUUCUCAUAUUCUAUA